CGGGAUGUAGCGCAGCUUGGUAGCGCAUCCGCUUUGGGAGCGGAAGGCCGCGGGUUCAAAUCCCGCCAUCCCGACCA
rnacentral:tRNA from 1 species